rnacentral:ncRNA from 1 species
UGCCGGGAGUAGGCUAAUAUAACACCCGUUCGCGGGGAAUAGGCCUGGCCGUCUAGCAGCGGAUUUUGAGCUCCCGGCUUUUGCUUU